rnacentral:misc_RNA from 1 species
ACUCCUCGUCACUUGAGCCGCUGACGUCACCUGGGAAGGACGCACGCACCUCUCUCUCCUGCCAACUCCCUAAAACUCCUUCUAAACCUUCCAAAAUGAGUGCAGAGAAUCCGAUUUACUCCCCCUUCUUCGGCGUGAUGGGGGCCGCCUCAGCCAUCAUCUUCAGCUCACUGGGGGCCGCCUACGGGACAGCCAAGUCCGGCGUGGGUAUUGCAGCCAUGUCUGUGAUGCGGCCAGAGCUCAUCAUGAAGUGUAUCAUCCCCGUGGUCAUGGCUGGUAUCAUUGCCAUUUACGGCCUGGUGGUGGCGGUGCUGUUGGCCGGCAAGCUGGACGCGGCUGAUGCUGGUUACUCCCUCUACUAUGGUUUUGUUCACCUGGGUGCUGGCCUGUCUGUGGGUCUUUCUGGUCUGGCCGCUGGGUUCGCUAUUGGAAUCGUUGGUGACGCUGGUGUGAGAGGAACCGCCCAGCAGCCUCGUCUCUUCGUGGGCAUGAUCCUUAUCCUUAUCUUCGCUGAGGUGCUGGGUCUGUACGGCCUCAUCGUGGCCAUCUACCUCUACACAAAGACCUCCUCGUAAGUAGUGAGGCCAGCCAGGGCGCCUCCUCUCCUCCUGAGGCCCCUGUUCCCUCUCCAGAAGCAGCCACACACACACACACACACACACACACACACAGCCAGCCAGCCAACCAGCAAGAUCAGUUUGGCGGCUCGUUUAUUUUAGCCAAGUGAAAACGUGCGGCUCUCCCUGCCCCUCCUUGUCCAUUCCCCACGUGACGUCAGUUAUUGAUGUGAAUAUUUUACUGUUAUAAAUAACAUAUACAUAGAUAUAUAUAAAUAUAUUUAAUCAUUCGUGGUGUGCGGAGAGAGACCAUCGCAUUAUUUUCUGGGGCCUUUAUUUGCCAAGCCAGAACGCGGCUAACCUGUGUAUGUAUAAAUGUAUAAAUUGUGAUGCUACCUUUUCUGUCCUUCCUCUACUUUUUCUCUCUUCCUUUCCCCACUACCACCUCCAAAUUCUCUUCCCCAUAACCUCCUAUUACCACCACCACCACCACUGCUGCCGCUGCUGCUGCUCUAGUUUGCCGCAAAUCAAACAGCCCAGCGAGGCCCCUUCCCCCACUGACCCACCCUGACGUUUGCAUCUCAUUUCAAGGCUGUUAAGUUGUCUUCCUGUGUGUGGCGAAGCGGGCCGGUAACCUCCCAUGACAUUUUGGGCAAUUCUACGCCAGAAUUCCUCAGGGUGACAGAUCUACCACCCUGGUUAGCUCCCUGGUGUUUUUUUUUUCCCCCAUUAGGCAAGUGUAGAUUGAACAAUCAGACAGAUAAUUAUAAUGUAAUCAGCGCAAAGAUAAAAUGCACAAAAAUAUCCAGAUCUCCUCUCCCAUCAACCCCUCCUUCCCUCAGCCCCUCAAUUGAUCACUGGCAGAUAUUUAUGGGGAUGGCUGGCACACACACACACACACACCUGCAGGACACCUCAUGGUUGUGUCACAUAUGUUUUAGCCCCACACAGACUGGGAAAGCCUUAGACCAGCUGGCAAUACAUAGAAUGGGGCAUGUCCUGCAUUACCUGUGUGUACAUGUGCCUGAAACAUACACACUCGUACGUACAUCCCUGCACACCUAGAUAAAGACACUACAACUCUAUCUGCAAGGUAUAUGAUUUAGAAUAUGUAGUGCAGAACAAGCCAGCGUCCGUAAGUGAUUCUUAGCGAAGAAGUGUUUACUAUAUGGGUUUGUUGAUAGUGUUGCCAUAGACCCAUAGAGGGUGUGUAGGAAAGGUUAGGGAGAGAAAGAGAGCGGUGAUAAUAAUGAGUGAUAAUGUGUGGCAGAGAUCCACCCACUGGCCCUUUGCUGGAGUACAUGGCAAGACAUCAGUGGUCUUUAUUUAUUAGCGUGUGGUCCUGCCUGGUCUAUUGCAGCCUCGGCACACCACCACCACCACCAGGCAGGCCAGCCGGUCAGACUAGCCAUUUGUGAUGAUUGUUGGUGAUUCAGUAGUUAUCUUUAGUGGGAAGUCUGCAACUACCUUGUAUAUUUUAUCCCUAAUCAUAUAUAUUUUUUCUCCUUUAGUUAGGUAUAGGAUACUGUUGGGAAUAAAAAUGAAUUACCGCAGCUGAAACUUAGGAAAAUUUAACAUUCCGUAUGUAUGUGGCAUGCACGUGGCCCCGGUGUGUGGCAUGUCAGGCCGUGUGUCGUGUCAUAUCCCUGGCAAGACACGACUCUGUGCUGUGUGUUGCCAGAGGAAUGGCGUGGCCUGCGGGAGACGUGCCGAUGCCGGGGCAACACAGCGUGCAGUGUGCCGUGCUUUCCAUCUCCCUGUCCUGUGGAUGGCCCUGGUUGUCAAUUGUUACAAGGUGUGUGCUCUGUAUAAAUGGUAUUGAAUAUGUAAUGGUAUAUUGUUAAUAAAAAAGUUGUACUCGGUAA